rnacentral:rRNA from 1 species
AAUCAACGCUGGCGGCGUGCCUAACACAUGCAAGUCGCACGAGAAAGGGUAGCAAUACCUGAGUACAGUGGCGCACGGGUGAGUAACGCGUGAAUCAUCUACCUUCGAGUGGGGAAUAACUGAGAGAAAUCUUAGCUAAUACCGCAUAAUACCUACGGGUCAAAGCAGCAAUGCGCUUGAAGAGGAGUUCGCGGCAGAUUAGUUAGUUGGCGGGGUAAUGGCCCACCAAGACGAUGAUCUGUAUCCGGCCUGAGAGGGCGCACGGACACACUGGAACUGAAACACGGGUCCAGACUCCUACGGGAGGCAGCAGUGGGGAAUUUUUGCGCAAUGGGGAAACCCUGACGCAGCAACGCCGCGUGGAGGAUGAAAUCCCUUGGGA